GGCUCUUUGUAAUCUUAAAAAAUAAGGAGUCCGACCUACCCUGUGUUUAAGUUAACGGCUAUGUAAAGUACUAAGGUAGCGUGGUAAGUAGCCUUUUAAUUGAAGGAUUGUAUGAAUGGUUUGAUGUAAAAAAGCUGUCUUUAAAAAAGCUCAUGAAGUUUCCUUUUAAGUGAAAAAGCUUAAAUUUUUAUAAUAGACGAGAAGACCCUGUUGAACUUGAUUAGAGGGGGUGUUAGCGUAAGUGAUGUGUGCACAACUUUGAAGUUUUAUUGGGGCACUAUAGGUUAAAAUGAAAGACCUCUAUCAAUAUAAAGACCCCUUAUGAAGGUCAUGAGCAAAAGUUACCACAGGGAUAACAGCGUAAUUCUUUAAAGGAGAUCUUAUUUAUAGAAGAGUUUGCGACCUCGAUGUUGGAUUAGAAAAACUUUAUUGGCGCAGCAGCUAGAAAUAGUAAGACUGUUCGUCUUUUAAUUU
rnacentral:rRNA from 1 species